rnacentral:ncRNA from 1 species
UAACCCGUGCAGAGAUGUACGGCUGAACCGGCAGGAGUCAGCAGAGGCCAUAGUACUUGCAAGGAGACGUCCAAGCAGGGAAGGGC